AGAGUGAAAACCAUUCACUAUUGCCAAAGCUUCGAUCCAGUCUACACUGAACCCAACCUGUCUCUCUCCAACCUCCCCAAGAAAGGAAAUUCCCUGAGUAACGUAUUUCUUGGAGUUUACAAUUCUGCGCCAUAUUUCUAAAAUCCCAAAAGCUUGACUCAUUCCUUACAGCCCCUCCACUUUUUUCUCCAUUUCACAUGAGCUCAUUAAAAUCCCCAGCCAACAUCCAAGCCUCAUCUCUUGCCAAACCAAUAUUCUCAAGAUGAUCCCAUACCGCUCUU
rnacentral:lncRNA from 1 species